rnacentral:lncRNA from 1 species
GAGUUUCCGAAGAUCGGAUCAAAAGAUCAGUUAGCUGAUAUUCUCACCAAAGUAGUUUUAAACCAAGUGUUUUCAAAAAUUUUAGACAUGUUGGGCAUGUGUGACAUCUAUGCGCCAACUUGAGAGGGUGUGAUGAGAUUAGAUUAAGAUUUCUUGUAAUUAUCUUUCCAAUCUUAGAAAUUGCUAAGUGUGCACAAAUCAUAGAUUGAUAAUAUUACCUAAUUGUAGAAGAUUAUGUAGCCAAAUUACAUGAAACUAAUUGAAA